rnacentral:rRNA from 1 species
GAAUGCUGACAUAAGUAACGAUAAAGCGGGUGAAAAGCCCGCUCGCCGGAAGACCAAGGGUUCCUGUCCAACGUUAAUCGGGGCAGGGUGAGUCGACCCCUAAGGCGAGGCCGAAAGGCGUAGUCGAUGGGAAACGGGUUAAUAUUCCCGUACUUGGUGUUACUGCGAAGGGGGGACGGAGAAGGCUAUGUUGGCCGGGCGACGGUUGUCCCGGUUUAAGCGUGUAGGUGUGUGUUCCAGGUAAAUCCGGUUCACUUUAACACUGAGGCGUGACGACGAGGCACUACGGUGCUGAAGCAACAAAUGCCCUGCUUCCAGGAAAAGCCUCUAAGCAUCAGGUAACAUCAAAUCGUACCCCAAACCGACACAGGUGGUCAGGUAGAGAAUACCAAGGCGCUUGAGAGAACUCGGGUGAAGGAACUAGGCAAAAUGGUGCCGUAACUUCGGGAGAAGGCACGCUGACACGUAGGUGAAGUGAUUUACUCAUGGAGCUGAAGUCAGUCGAAGAUACCAGCUGGCUGCAACUGUUUAUUAAAAACACAGCACUGUGCAAACACGAAAGUGGACGUAUACGGUGUGACGCCUGCCCGGUGCCGGAAGGUUAAUUGAUGGGGUCAGCGCAAGCGAAGCUCCUGAUCGAAGCCCCGGUAAACGGCGGCCGUAACUAUAACGGUCCUAAGGUAGCGAAAUUCCUUGUCGGGUAAGUUCCGACCUGCACGAAUGGCGUAAUGAUGGCCAGGCUGUCUCCACCCGAGACUCAGUGAAAUUGAACUCGCUGUGAAGAUGCAGUGUACCCGCGGCAAGACGGAAAGACCCCGUGAACCUUUACUAUAGCUUGACACUGAACAUUGAGCCUUGAUGUGUAGGAUAGGUGGGAGGCUUUGAAGUGUGGACGCCAGUCUGCAUGGAGCCGACCUUGAAAUACCACCCUUUAAUGUUUGAUGUUCUAACGUGGACCCGUGAUCCGGGUUGCGGACAGUGUCUGGUGGGUAGUUUGACUGGGGCGGUCUCCUCCUAAAGAGUAACGGAGGAGCACGAAGGUUGGCUAAUCCUGGUCGGACAUCAGGAGGUUAGUGCAAUGGCAUAAGCCAGCUUGACUGCGAGCGUGACGGCGCGAGCAGGUGCGAAAGCAGGUCAUAGUGAUCCGGUGGUUCUGAAUGGAAGGGCCAUCGCUCAACGGAUAAAAGGUACUCCGGGGAUAACAGGCUGAUACCGCCCAAGAGUUCAUAUCGACGGCGGUGUUUGGCACCUCGAUGUCGGCUCAUCACAUCCUGGGGCUGAAGUAGGUCCCAAGGGUAUGGCUGUUCGCCAUUUAAAGUGGUACGCGAGCUGGGUUUAGAACGUCGUGAGACAGUUCGGUCCCUAUCUGCCGUGGGCGCUGGAGAACUGAGGGGGGCUGCUCCUAGUACGAGAGGACCGGAGUGGACGCAUCACUGGUGUUCGGGUUGUCAUGCCAAUGGCACUGCCCGGUAGCUAAAUGCGGAAGAGAUAAGUGCUGAAAGCAUCUAAGCACGAAACUUGCCCCGAGAUGAGUUCUCCCUGAGACUUAG